rnacentral:tRNA from 1 species
GCCAGCCUGGUGUAGUGGUUUGAGCGUUGUACUAGGACUCUGGAGACCUGGGUUCGAAUCCCAGCUUGGCC